rnacentral:rRNA from 1 species
CCCUUAGAUGUCCUGGGCCGCACGCGCGCUACACUGAACGGAUCAGCGCGUUUUCCCUUCCCGAGAGGGACGGGUAACCUGCUGAACCCCGUUCGUGGUAGGGAUCGGGGCUUGCAAUUAUUCCCCGUGAACCAGGAAUGCCCAGUAAGUGCAAGUCAUAAGCUUGCGUUGAUUACGUCCCUGCCCUUUGUACACACCGCCCGUCGCACCUACCGAUUGAAUGGUCCGGUGAAAUCUCGGGACGGCGGCUUGGUCGCUUGCGUCCGACUGCUGAAACUUGAUUAAACCAUAUCAUUUAGAGGAAGGUGAANUCGUANCA